CAAACAAGCGUACGGCUCACCUGAUGGUAAGCGAUUACCGUAGCUUAUAGACGCCUGCAACACCAGUAGCAUCGCAAGCGCGUUGCCGACCCAAUCCCCAAUCCCUCCAGAAGCUCUGGUCACCUUACUCACCAACAGGAACACAAUACUGCUUGAAAACAGUAUUAUUUUGCUGUGGUCUUCUGUAAGGUCGAGGUACUACCCCAGUCGGGCUGCUCCAUAUUUUGAGCAAAA
rnacentral:misc_RNA from 1 species